AUUGAACGCUGGCGGCAUGCCUUACACAUGCAAGUCGAACGGCAGCGCGGGAGCAAUCCUGGCGGCGAGUGGCGAACGGGUGAGUAAUAUAUCGGAACGUGCCCAGUAGUGGGGGAUAGCCCGGCGAAAGCCGGAUUAAUACCGCAUGAGACCUGAGGGUGAAAGCGGGGGAUCGCAAGACCUCGCGCUAUUGGAGCGGCCGAUAUCAGAUUAGCUAGUUGGUGGGGUAAAGGCCUACCAAGGCAACGAUCUGUAGUUGGUCUGAGAGGACGACCAGCCACACUGGGACUGAGACACGGCCCAGACUCCUACGGGAGGCAGCAGUGGGGAAUAUUGGACAAUGGGGGAAACCCUGAUCCAGCAAUGCCGCGUGAGUGAUGAAGGUCUUCGGAUUGUAAAGCUCUUUUGGCAGGGACGAUGAUGACGGUACCUGCAGAAUAAGCUCCGGCUAACUUCGUGCCAGCAGCCGCGGUAAAGUCGUC
rnacentral:rRNA from 1 species